UUAUAAAUAGCGAUUAACGUCGUAAGAUUUGCUUUCACAAGAAUCUAGUAAAUUUAAUAGG
rnacentral:tRNA from 1 species